UCAAAACAUGUCUGUAUGUUAUUUAUAUAAAGUCUGGCCUGCCCACUGAUAACAUUAAAGGGCCGCGGUAAUUUGACCGUGCGAAGGUAGCAUAAUAAGUAGUCUUUUAAUUGGAGGCUUGAAUGAAAGGUCGGAUGAGGGGCUAGCUGUCUCCCCCAGUAAUUCUAAUUUAACUUUUAAGUGAAAAGGCUUAAAUUACUUAGUGGGACGAAAAGACCCUAUAAAACUUUAUAUAAUGAAAGCUUUAUUUUCAAUUUUUGUUUAAAGUUAUUUAGAACAGGUUAUAUUUUGUUGGGGCGACAAAAAUAAAAUUUUUAACUGUUUUGAAAAUUUGAUAAUUAUAAUUAGUUUUUGAUCCUUAUUAUAGAUUAAAAGAUAAAGUUACUUUAGGGAUAACAGCGUAAUUUUCUUUGAAAGUUCUUAUUGACAAGAUUAGUUGCGACCUCGAUGUUGAAUUAAAAUUUUUAAGCAGGUGCAGCCGCUUGCUUUUAGGGUCUGUUCGACCUUUAAAUUUUUACAUGAUUUGAGUUCAAACCGGUGUGAGCCAGGUGGUU
rnacentral:rRNA from 1 species